GCGCUGCCAUCCCUCCCUGAGAUGCUCAUUGCUGUCAGCGUCCUACAGUGUGGAGUCCAAAGGUGUUAAGGAGCGCUGCCAUCCCUCCCUGAGAUGCUCAUUGCUGUCAGCGUCCUACAGUGUGGAGUCCAAAGGUGUUAAGGAGCGCUGCCAUCCCUCCCUGAGAUGCUCAUUGCUGUCAGCGUCCUACAGUGUGGAGUCCUAAGGUGUUAAGGAGCGCUGCCAUCCCUCCCUGAGAUGCUCAUUGCUGUCAGCGUCCUACAGUGUGGAGUCCUAAGGUGUUAAGGAGCGCUGCCAUCCCUCCCUGAGAUGCUCAUUGCUGUCAGUGUCCUACAGUGUGGAGACGUCAGCGCCCUACAGCUUGGAGUCCAAAGGUGUUAAGGAGCGCUGCCAUCCCUCCCUGAGAUGCUCAUUGCUGUCAGCGUCCUACAGUGUGGAGUCCAAAGGUGUUAAGGAGCGCUGCCAUCCCUCCCUGAGAUGCUCAUUGCUGUCAGCGUCCUACAGUGUGGAGUCCUAAGGUGUUAAGGAGCGCUGCCAUCCCUCCCUGAGAUGCUCA